GUGCUCGCCACGGCGGCACAUAUACUAAAAAUUGGAUCGAUACAGAGAAGAUUAUCAUGGCCCCUGCGUGAAGUCCGUGAAGCGCUCCAUCUUUUG
rnacentral:snRNA from 1 species